rnacentral:lncRNA from 1 species
ACCAAGAUCAUUCACAAAAGAUGCAUGAAAGCUAUGAAACUUUUACACCAUCAGUGGACAAGCAUGAGGAUUCAAAUUAAGUAGAACCAGUAAAACACCGAUUCAAAUGUUACAACACGGUCCAAAUCCGGAACAUAACACGGCCAUGCUACCGAGGGAUGGACCCACGAUAACACGAAGCCAAAAUUCAUCUUCUUAAAUAUAAUAAUAGGUGUAUCACAAAUAA